UCAUCAAGAAAGAAAAUAGUGCGGAUCGAAAAGAAUUCAAAGUGAAAAUUAUCCCAAAAUAAAAUGAAUGCCAGUGAAUUUUUCGAUGAACGAGAUAGGGCGAUGGAUGCAGCAAACGAAGUUUUGAAGAAGAAACGUCCUUAUGAGGCUAGAGUGCGAGCAUUUGAGAGGAAGGUGAAGGCCUACAUUGACUCAUUGGAAAAGGAGAAGCUUGAUGAGCGAAAGAUGUCCGAGAUUCGAAAGUCCUACAACAAGAAAUUGGCAUUUCUCAAAAAUUAUAAUUAAGAAAAAUGAAAUUUCCAUGCCGGACAUCUUAAAAAACACUGCCGGACAUAAUUAUAUUUUGUUUUUGAUUGAAAAUUUCUAUUCCCUCAAGCAGUGAAUUUUCACUACAAAAUAUUUAACAAAAAUUCUUAAAAUUUAAAAAUUCCUUAUUAGCUUAAUCUGUUCCAGAGUUAUUUCUUGAAGUUUAUUUGUUUGUUUCUCCUUAAAAAAAUUAAUAUUAAAAUAAAAAUAAAAUUUUGAAAAAAAAAUAA